GUACUCCCAUUUCAAUUCCGGUUGAUCCUGCCGGAGGCCACUGCUAUGGGGGUCCGACUAAGCCAUGCGAGUCAUGGGGGUGUCCCUUCUGGGACACCACCGGCGGACGGCUCAGUAACACGUCGGUAACCUACCCUCGGGAGGGGGAUAACCCCGGGAAACUGGGGCUAAUCCCCCAUAGGUGUGGGGUACUGGAAGGUCCCCACACCGAAAGGGGCUUCGUGCCCGCCCGAGGAUGGGCCGGCGGCCGAUUAGGUAGUUGGUGGGGUAACGGCCCACCAAGCCGAAGAUCGGUACGGGCCAUGAGAGUGGGAGCCCGGAGAUGGACACUGAGACACGGGUCCAGGCCCUACGGGGCGCAGCAGGCGCGAAACCUCCGCAAUGCGGGAAACCGCGACGGGGGGACCCCCAGUGCCGUGGCAACGCCACGGCUUUUCCGGAGUGUAAAAAGCUCCGGGAAUAAGGGCUGGGCAAGGCCGGUGGCAGCCGCCGCGGUAAUACCGGCGGCCCGAGUGGUGGCCGCUAUUAUUGGGCCUAAAGCGUCCGUAGCCGGGCCCGUAAGUCCCUGGCGAAAUCCCACGGCUCAACCGUGGGGCUUGCUGGGGAUACUGCGGGCCUUGGGACCGGGAGAGGCGGGGGGUACCCCUGGGGU
rnacentral:rRNA from 1 species